CAUUGGCCCAACCAUCACCCUACUACCGAUAUCGCCCACUAAACCAUGUCCCUAAGCACCACGUCCAGCCUUUCUUUGAACACCCCUAGGGACCGUGACUCCACCACCUCCCUGGGCAACCCGUUCCAAUGCCUGACUUCUCCUUCUGAGGAGAAAUGUCUCCAUUUCCAAACUGAACCUCCCCUGGUGCAGCUUGAGGCCAUUCUCUCUAGUCCUAUCACUAGUUACCUGUGAGAAGAUGCUGACCCUCAGCUCUCCACAAAAUGUCCUCUCCUCGAGGGUGCCUCUCUGUGUCACUAUUAAAAGCAGCGGUGCAGUCAGCGCAGGCUUUUUAUUCCAGUUAGGUUUUGUCCCUUAUGGGAUGCCCUCUCAGCAUUAAGAAAAGCUGUUAACGUGAAAACAAGUUCUGCUUGUUCCUGCUUUAGAAAACACAGUCACUUUGUGUCUGAACCCUAAAAAUGAGGUAGUCUAUUCACCAGGUUUUUCGGCUUCCCUUAGGGUGUGAUUCUGCCUGAGGAGAAAGGAUGUGCGCAGGAAGUUAUUUUCCUCAUGACCAGAAUGAAAGAACAACUUGUGCCCUUUACUACAAGGAUUGGUAACAAUUGCGGUUUUACUGAACAUAAUAUGACACGUUAACUCCCGUUCCAUCUCCUAAAUCCUUUCCCCGUCUCCUCCCUCCUUUCUCCAAAUCAUAUUUAGCUACUUCCCUGGGUGAUCGUUCUCUAGUAUGACUUUCCAAACUCAAUUAUCUCUGACUAAAUAAUUUAAAGCCUAGUUUAAAUUUAAUUUCUUUCUAUCCCACUGGGAGAACUACAGAGAAAGAUAGCUAAACAAGCAUGAGUUCUGAGAAAUCCAUUUGGCUAUCGAGCUGAUGAACGAUGUGAUAUUGACAACAGAUACUUUUCAAAGAGUUCUCCAAACACGUGUAUGGCAGCAGGAAUCUGCACAAUAAAUAAAUAAAUAAACCGGCCGUGACAGCCUUCAGAAGAGAUAAGGAGGAAGUGAUUUUCAAAUAAUGGCAGCAGAUUUGGAGAAGGAAUUACAGAUAUCCCAGAAUUUGAAGGGAUGCUGUGCAUGUCCCCUUAGAGGUGGGGAAGGCAGCAGGCUCUGCUGUGGGCGUUUGGAGAGCACCUACUCCAUUUUCAAGCAGAAGAGAAUCUUAGAACUUGAAGAAUCAGAACACCAGAACAUCUGCAUUGACAGGUCAGAGCUUCCUGUAACACUAGGAUAUCAAUAUGGGCCAUAAGGAGUGGAAGAAGGAAAAACAUUUAACUGUUACGUGAUGGAAACCGUUAUGAUGACCAUCUGUAUAAAUACGAGCUGUAUCCCAGUGGGUUGAAUGGGAGAUCCCCAUGCCAGAGACCGUGCCUCGCUGAGACGGUAGUGUCUGAAAUGACGCAGAGCCAUAAAGUGGGUGGAGGUCAGCACGACUGAGCUGGGCACCUUGGGCUGUGAGGAGUGAUUUCUGAGCAGCGCUGCUGAGCUCUUCUGCACCCUGACACCAAACCACUGCUCUCCAACAUGUGCAGCUGCCUGGGGCUGGGAGGAGAGCUGGAAGGCUGAUUUCGUGGAGGUAAAACCAUGCAUUUCUUCCCCUGCCCCCUUCAGGGCUCAGCUGUUAACUAGAAGGGGAUGCAGGUCAGGUGGGAAGGAUCCAGCACCAAAUUUGGGUCUCUUCUGUAGACUUUUAGCUUUGGCAAGAUGAAGCCAGUCUUUAAUGUGACUUUAAUGUGACAAGCUGUUCCUGAGGUGUCACUUGGCUGGAGGCUCUGUCAGCCGGUACAGUGGAUGUGGCGUCUGCAACAGCCAGUCCGUGUUGAUGCACUGACAGAGGAGGCAGGCAAGAAAAGAGACAGUGGCAAAUACCUCAUUCAAAAGUACCCUUUGGGGGGAUAACCAAAGAACUGUAGAAUAACAGAGGCUGGUAGGAGUCCUUGUAUGUGCCUCAUCCAGUCCCUGGUGAGCACAGGGCCAACCGAAUGAAGUUGCUCAGGGCCGUGCCUCGCUGAUGUUUGUGUAUCUCCAAGAAGAGGGAACCCGCUGUCUCUCUGCUCUGCACUCCGAUGUUUGACCACUCUCAGAGUGAAAACACUUUUCCUAAUGUCCAAGUGGAUUUUCCUGUCUUCCAUCUCGUUCUUGCCGCCCCUUGUCCUUCCCCUGUGCACCUCGGAGAGGAGCCUGGCUCCGUCUGCACCGUCACCCUCCAGCAGUGCGGAGUGAAGCGGGCACUUGACCGGUUUCUCAAACGCAAGACGAGACGAAGACAUGGUGCAACUUCCCAAGAUGGCCCUCAGAAGGAGCACGCUGAAGAGCUCUGGAGAGCUUGAGGGUGGUACAUACAGCGAGAGGCACAUCUCGGAGAUGCUCUUGACUGCCUUGAGACAUCCUGCUGAAGCUGACAUUUAUGUUAAAUGACUCCAUGCUCGUCACAUUAUUGCAGUAAAUGCUAAAUGCAUCUGAUGUUGAGCGCAUACGUUCUUACCUUUUUUGAUAACUCUAUGUUAAUAUUACAUUAAUUAUUCCUGAGUUACAAUGUUGUUGAAUGUUGAUAAAGGCUGAAUUGCUUCA